rnacentral:rRNA from 1 species
UACAGAGGUCCCAAGCGUUGUUCGGAUUCAUUGGGCGUAAAGGGUGCGUAGGUGGCGCCGUAAGUCAGGUGUGAAAUUUCGGAGCUUAACUCCGAAACUGCAUUUGAUACUGCCUUGCUUGAGGACUGGAGAGGAGACUGGAAUUUACGGUGUAGCAGUGAAAUGCGUAGAUAUCGUAAGGAAGACCAGUGGCGAAGGCGGGUCUCGUGGACAGUUCCUGACACUGAGGUACGAAGGCCAGGGGAGCAAAACGGG